GCCGGGGGAGCUGCCGGGGCAGGGCGUGAGGGGGAGCGCGGGCGAGGGGCCGUGGAGCCGUGCCGGCCCGGGCGGGUCGGCGGGAGAGGUCGCCCGGGGCGCGGAGAGGUCCCGAAAUCCGUGAAGGGGAACCGUCGGCUGAAGGGAGGCUCGCCCCCGAGCAAGUGCGCGGGGUGGCCGGGCCUCACGCCGGUGGGACGGGGAACGAGGGUGUGUUGGAAACCCUGAAAUUUUCAGUGAAGCCUGACUUAAUCGGAAAGAACUGAAGAAGCACAGGUGGAAAGGAACUAGAGAAGCACAGGAGGAAAACCUGUGAACACAAAUCUUUGUACGAAGCUGCACUGACUUCUCUUCACAUCUUCCAAAAGAUCAGGCGGGAACAGAUGGCAACCCCUUCUGCUCUGCUUAUAGGCCCUUUUCCCUGUACUUAAGAGCCUGUAACUGUGUCCAAAAGUGUAAGGGAGAAUAUCGUGGAAAAUCCUGAGCUUCCAGCAGAAAAAGAAUUUAAAAUACAUGCAUAUGCAGGACUCCUCAAUCUAUAGAUCUCGCAGAAGUGGCUAGGCCUUUGCUUCCAAAGUAGUUUUCAGCAAUCCUGGGUUCUUCAGCUUUCAUUCCUUUCUUGUGUAAGUAUGUGCAUAUUUUAGUGGAAGGGGAAAUAUUUUAGCUAAAGAAUAUUGGCAGCAUUUCGCUCGUUGAAAAUGUAUGUAAAAAGAUAAAACACAUGGAAGCACUUUACAAGACACUUGGUAUUUUGGUGGUUUUUUUUUUUUUUUAAUUUAAUAAAACAAGCAAUUGUUUUAUAGCCAAAGCCAUUUCAAGGAAAUUUACAUACCUCUGUUGGUGGUCACAGUGUAAAUAGCUAAAAAUAUAGUAUACCUUGGAUGGGUACAUGCUGGUACUGUCCUCCCCUCUCUGACCGCUAAGGUUCCUUGAUUUUUUUUCUCCUUUCUGUUAUCUUUUGCUGUUUGUUCCUUAUUGUGUAGAUCUUGCCAUUCAAAGAGGGUUCUGGGUGUUAGGGGUGAUACAUUUUUCUUCAUACUGUUCUUCAACCAGCUGGCUGGUAGCUCUUCGUGAGGGCCCUUUAACCUUCAGGCUCUAUUGUUAGGAUUUUGUUUGCUUUUUUUAAUAGGGGUAGGCAGGAAAAGGAAGAAAAAAGGACUAUUUUCAGACCCUGUGUUUCAUUAAUUAUGCAAAAGCUGUUUCUGGUUUUGUUUCAUGGCAAAGCAUCGAGUCCUGAAGGGAAAUGGAGAUACCGGUAUGUGGUCCAAGGGACCCACUGAAAAAUAGAUUUUUGCCUUUGAUAUUUACAUUUGCAGUAAUGUCAGCAAAGAGCUGUUAUUCCUGCAUAAAACAUCCAAUUUCAAGCAAAGUUCUCUUGAGCAAAGCCACCAGCUAGAAUUACCUGUCUAUAUUUUGAAGAAAUUGCAGUGUUAUUUCUGACCUCUCUUAGGGAAAUUGCUGUCAUUGUUUAUCUGAGGCUUUCCUCUGAAUUUCUCACCGUAGUCUUUAGGGUUCAAGCUGUGUUACCCACUGCUGACGUCUGUAACUUCUAUGGGAAGCUGCUGUAUUUUUCCAUUUCGGGGUACCAGUUCAUAGCACCAAGGUACUGAAAUACAUUGGAAGUGACAUAACGUGUAUCGAUAUAAGCAAGUGUAAUGAUUUUAAAGAUUUAUAUUAUACUUAUUUAAUAAACAGUUUUUAUUAUCCUUG